rnacentral:rRNA from 1 species
UGAUCCUGGCUCAGGAUGAACGCUAGCGGCAGGCCUAACACAUGCAAGUCGAGGGGUAACAGGAGAGCUUGCUCUUGCUGACGACCGGCGCACGGGUGAGUAACGCGUAUGCAACCUACCUUUAACUGGGGAAUAGCCCGGAGAAAUCCGGAUUAAUGCCCCAUAAUAUUUUUCUAAUACAUGUUUUUGUGAUUAAAGUUUUUCGGUAUGAGAUGGCAUGCGUAAGAUUAGCUAGUUGGUAAGGUAACGGCUUACCAAGGCUACGAUCUUUAGGGGGCCUGAGAGGGUGGUCCCCCACACUGGUACUGAGACACGGACCAGACUCCUACGGGAGGCAGCAGUGAGGAAUAUUGGUCAAUGGACGAAAGUCUGAACCAGCCAUGCCGCGUGAAGGAAGAAGGUGUUAUGCAUCGUAAACUUCUUUUACAUAGGAAGAAACUUCUCUACGUGUAGAGAACUGACGGUACUAUGUGAAUAAGGACCGGCUAACUCCGUGCCAGCAGCCGCGGUAAUACGGAGGGUCCAAGCGUUAUCCGGAUUUAUUGGGUUUAAAGGGUCCGUAGGCGGAUUUUUAAGUCAGUGGUGAAAGCCUGCAGCUCAACUGCAGAACUGCCAUUGAUACUGGGAAUCUUGAGUAUAUUUGAAGUGGGCGGAAUGUGUCAUGUAGCGGUGAAAUGCAUAGAUAUGACACAGAACACCGAUUGCGAAGGCAGCCCACUAAGCUGCAACUGACGCUGAGGCACGAAAGCGUGGGUAGCGAACAGGAUUAGAUACCCUGGUAGUCCACGCCGUAAACGAUGGUCACUCGCUGUCGGCGAUACACAGUCGGCGGCCGAGCGAAAGUAUUAAGUGACCCACCUGGGGAGUACGCCGGCAACGGUGAAACUCAAAGGAAUUGACGGGGGCCCGCACAAGCGGUGGAGCAUGUGGUUUAAUUCGAUGAUACGCGAGGAACCUUACCAGGGCUUAAAUGUAGGAUGCAUUAGACAGAGAUGUUUAUUUCUUCGGACUUCUUACAAGGUGCUGCAUGGUUGUCGUCAGCUCGUGCCGUGAGGUGUCAGGUUAAGUCCUAUAACGAGCGCAACCCCUGUUGUUAGUUACCAGCACAUUAUGGUGGGGACUCUAACAAGACUGCCGGUGCAAACCGUGAGGAAGGUGGGGAUGACGUCAAAUCAUCACGGCCCUUACGUCCUGGGCUACACACGUGCUACAAUGGUAUGGACAAUGAGCAGCCACUAUGCAAAUAGGAGCGAAUCUACAAACCAUAUCACAGUUCGGAUCGGAGUCUGCAACUCGACUCCGUGAAGCUGGAAUCGCUAGUAAUCGGAUAUCAGCCAUGAUCCGGUGAAUACGUUCCCGGGCCUUGUACACACCGCCCGUCAAGCCAUGGAAGUUGGGAGUGCCUGAAGUCCGUCACCGUAAGGAGCGGCCUAGGGUAAAACUGGUAACUAGGGCUAAGUCGUAACAAGGUAGCC